rnacentral:rRNA from 1 species
GUCCGCUCAGGGUUAGUCAGGACCUAAGCCGAGGCCGACAGGCGUAGGCGAUGGACAACAGGUUGAUAUUCCUGUACCACCUCUUUAUCGUUUGAGCAAUGGAGGGACGCAGAAGGAUAGAAGAAGCGUGCGAUUGGUUGUGCACGUCCAAGCAGUUAGGCUGAUAAGUAGGCAAAUCCGCUUAUCGUGAAGGCUGAGCUGUGAUGGGGAAGCUCCUUAUGGAGCGAAGUCUUUGAUUCCCCGCUGCCAAGAAAAGCUUCUAGCGAGAUAAAAGGUGCCUGUACCGCAAACCGACACAGGUAGGCGAGGAGAGAAUCCUAAGGUGUGCGAGAGAACUCUGGUUA